rnacentral:rRNA from 1 species
UACGAAGGGUGCAAGCGUUACUCGGAAUUACUGGGCGUGAAGCGUGCGUAGGUGGUUUGUUAAGUCUGAUGUGAAAGCCCUGGGCUCAACCUGGGAACGGCAUUGGAAACUGGCUUACUAGAGUGCGGUAGAGGGGUGUGGAAUUCCCGGUGUAGCAGUGAAAUGCGUAGAUAUCGGGAGGAACAUCUGUGGCGAAGGCGACACCCUGGACCAGCACUGACACUGAGGCACGAAAGCGUGGGGAGCAAACAGG